CUACCAUGCAAGUCGAGCGAAGCACUUUGCUUAGAUUCUUCGGAUGAAGAGGAUCUGUGACUGAGCGGCGGACGGGUGAGUAACGCGUGGGUAACCUGCCUCGUACAGGGGGAUAACAGUUAGAAAUGACUGCUAAUACCGCAUAAGACCACAGCACCGCAUGGUGCAGGGGUAAAAACUCCGGUGGUAUGAGAUGGACUCGCGUCUGAUUAGCUAGUUGGUAAGGUAACGGCUUACCAAGGCGACGAUCAGUAGCCGACCUGAGAGGGUGACCGGCCACAUUGGGACUGAGACACGGCCCAAACUCCUACGGGAGGCAGCAGUGGGGAAUAUUGCACAAUGGGGGAAACCCUGAUGCAGCGACACCGCGUGAGCGAAGAAGUAUUUCGGUACGUAAAGCUCUAUCAGCAGGGAAGAAAAUGACGGUACCUGACUAAGAAGCACCGGCUAAAUACGUGCCAGCAGCCGCGGUAAUACGUAUGGUGCAAGCGUUAUCCGGAUUUACUGGGUGUAAAGGGAGCGUAGACGGAUGGGCAAGUCUGAUGUGAAAACCCGGGGCUCAACCCCGGGACUGCAUUGGAAACUGUUCAUCUAGAGUGCUGGAGAGGUAAGUGGAAUUCCUAGUGUAGCGGUGAAAUGCGUAGAUAUUAGGAGGAACACCAGUGGCGAAGGCGGCUUACUGGACAGUAACUGACGUUGAGGCUCGAAAGCGUGGGGAGCAAACAGGAUUAGAUACCCUGGUAGUCCACGCCGUAACGAUGACUACUAGGUGUCGGGUGGCAUAGCCAUUCGGGUGCCGCCAGCAAACCGCAAUUAAGUAGUCCACCUGGGGGAGUACGUUCCCAAGAAUGAGACUCAAAG
rnacentral:rRNA from 1 species